GUUGGGUAGCCUAGUGGUUAAAGUGUUCACUUGUCACACCAAAGACCCGGGUUUGAUUCCCCACAUGGGUACAAUGUUGUGAAGCCCAUUUCUGGUGUACCCUGCCGUGAUAUAGCUGGAAUAUUA